UGAUUGAAUUGAAUAUAUCCACAUGUGUCGGUGUCGUGUCAGAGACACACCUCCAAUCAGUUGUCGGUGCCAUAUAGUUUCAAACUCAACAAAAGAUCUAUAAGCUUCACUAUUAUUCUUCAAAUUCGCUUCAUCAAGCAUUGGUACAAAGCUUGAAAAUAAACAGCAACAAUUAUUUCCACUUGCAAAACUAAUCAAACUCAACAGAGCAAAUAACCUAAAUUAUCAUCAAUUCACGAUUGCAAAUUCACGCAUUAUCCUUCAAAAUACAUAAAACAAAAUCCAAACUAAAAUUUAACAAACAUUAAAGUUCCAAAUUACACAAUCAAGCAAUAUUCUGCCACGAAAUCGCCGUUUUCCUUUUAUUCCUAUUCAUCCAAACAUCACUAUUCUUCUUCCAAUUCCUAAUCUCCAAUUUCUCACCAUCCCCUUUCACACCAAAAAACUCCGGUCUCGACGCUGCCACCGCAAUCCUCGGUAACCCUAACGCCGACGAAACCGAUUCACUUUCAUCUCCCUUCCCCGAAAACGCCGACAGAAACACCUUCCCUGAACUACUUCCAGCGUGGAUUUGUGGAAGCAACGAAUUCAAACCAAACACACCACGAAUUUCGCCGUUUGAUGCAGGAUCGUGUUUGAGGAAUCUGGAGGAUGAUGAUGCGGUGGAUACUGCGGCGGCAGUGGCGGUGGUUGUGGUGCGUUGUGGAGGUGGAUUGAUACCGUUGAGCCAACGAACGAGAGCGAUACGAGAUGAACGGUUAGGAUCGUAUUCGAUGCGUUCGACGAUACCGACGGAAGAAGAAGUGUUGCGCUUGAGAUCGAUGACUCGAUGUAAACGUUUAUGGCCGCCGCCGCGGUGGAAGGAGGUGAUGCGGCCGUAACAGUUACGGCCGGCGGUUUUUCCGGCGCCGAAUGUGAAUUGUCUCAGUGAUCUCUUCACUCCUCCUGACAUUUUUUUUUUUGGAU
rnacentral:lncRNA from 1 species